AUGCGUCUUAUCUGAAGUCCUAGUUUAGUUUUGUAGCUUGAAUUGGGAGUUUCAAUAUUUAUAGACUUUUAUAUAUAUAAUAAAUCUUCCCUUCUUUUAUAUUAAGUUUUAAAGGUCAAGAAUAAAAAAAAAAUAAAAAAAAAAAAAAAUUCCGAGUUAUAUUUGCAAUGGACCUAUUUUAAAAUGGAAUUCAACUAAAAUUUAGGGUAUAAUCUUAUAUAACUAUGCAUUCUUUGUAAAGUGCAUAAAAACUAGCUUUAGAUGGAGGUUUUUUGAAUUGCAUACCUUCAUAAAUUAAUUUAUUUUUACAGAUCACAAUUCUGGAAAGAAGAAGGAAAAUAAGACGUGAAAAUGAGCAGUGCCCUCGCCGGGACUUCAACCUGGACCUCUUGAAUACGCACCGUGUGUGCUAUCGUUACAUCACGAAGGGAUGCUGGAAGAAGGAAGGAAAUGCCUUAUAUACCACCCCUUUUUAAAGAGCGACUGUGGAUUAGGAGAACCAGUCGCCAAAUCCUGGUGGUGAGAAAUUAUUGUCCACCACUUUGUCAUGAGAAAGAAAGUUACAUUAGAAGACGAUGAGGUUACUGAAAUGAUCUUAAAGCAGUCAUUUCACACUAAUAGCGGCAUGCUAUUCGUACAAAUACGAAAAUCGCACUACACAAAAGCUUUGGUUGACUGUAUCUCCGGAAUCACAUACAUGGUUUGUAGUGAUACACCGCUUGCUACUGUGACAAUUUAUGGUGUGCAACUGACGGUUAAAUAUGAUUUCCCAAAACCCAUAGACCCGGCAGAUGACUGAUCUUUAUUGCAGUUCCUACAGUACUUUGGUAGCAUGUAAUGGCAUCUGUAGCAAGUAAUAGUGAUUGAUAAUUGGAAUAAUAAAAAUAUUAAUUUUCAUUUAA